rnacentral:rRNA from 1 species
AAAUUGAAGAGUUUGAUCAUGGCUCAGAUUGAACGCUGGCGGCAGGCCUAACACAUGCAAGUCGAACGGUAACAGGAAGCAGCUUGCUGCUUCGCUGACGAGUGGCGGACGGGUGAGUAAUGUCUGGGAAACUGCCUGAUGGAGGGGGAUAACUACUGGAAACGGUAGCUAAUACCGCAUAACGUCGCAAGACCAAAGAGGGGGACCUUCGGGCCUCUUGCCAUCGGAUGUGCCCAGAUGGGAUUAGCUAGUAGGU